GUUGCAAAGGCAGAGAGGGGAGAAGUGAUGACGGUGAUCGUUGUCGCCGCGUCUUCUGUGGAGCCCAAGCAGUGCCGAAGGAAGUCGCCAGGCUCUUCCCCGACCUUUUGCUCCUCUCCCUGCGCGAGCCUCAGCUUACAUUGUAGCCCAAGCUGGCCUUGGAUGUGUGGCAAUCCUACCUCUACCUACUGAGCACCGGGAUUAUAGAGAUCUAGGCUUACAUUGCUAUUACGCCUCCAACAGCAGCAGCCAGAUGGUGCAGUGAUUUUGAAACAGGCUUUGAUAAAUCCACAAAGGAGCCACUUGAGGUUGCAUCGAGUAACCAAUGAGAACUAACCAGGACAACUACCAACAGAGAUGCUCUUUUGCCAACUGACAAAUGUUGCUGUUUAGUAUAGUCAUUUUGUCAGACCUCUCAGAUCCAAGCCUCUUGAGUUGGUCCACCCCAGUAUCUACCUCAUCUAUGACCUGCUAGAGCAUGUGAAGGGGCCGGUCCUGCAGAUCCAAAGCUGCAGAAUCUCCAUGACACAGGACAACAACAGGAUAUCCAAGAAGAAUCCUGAUGAGGAUCUAGUAUUAAUGGUAUAACAGAAGCCAGAGGCCUUAAAACACACCAAUGAGUAAUUGCAAUGAACAUUUGCAAGUAAAGAAGUGUGGACAAAGGGUGUACUGUGGGACAUACUGUGACACACUGUGAUACACUACAGCUUCCAUGACCAAAUUUUUGUUUGUUUGUUUUUAUUUUUUAUUUUCUUUGGGGUGGAGGUUGCAAGGGUGGAGAACAGGAGAUAGGGAGAUGAAUGGAAUUGGGGUAUAUGAUGUAAAAUUCACAGAGUCAAUAAAAAGU
rnacentral:lncRNA from 1 species